AAAAAAUCAAUUCUCCGGUUUUCGUAUCCAACGUUUGACCGUCCGUCUUAUUUGAAAAUUUUUUAGAAAAUUAGAAAAAAAAUAGUCACACGUAAAGUACUAUUCAUGAUUUAUCAUCUAAUAAAAAUAAAAAUAUCAAUCGCAAAAAGAAUUUGAAUAAGACGAAGAGUUAAAAAUUGUAUGUGAAAAGUGAAAAAUUAGUUUAUU
rfam:Oryza brachyantha chromosome 8, whole genome shotgun sequence.